GACGAACCGUGCGAACGUUGUUCGGAAUCACUGGGCUUAAAGGGCGCGUAGGCGGCCGGGUUGGUCGUGGGUGAAAUCCCCCAGCUUAACUGGGGAAUUGCCUACGAUACUGCCUGGCUCGAGGGAGGAAGGGGCGGCCGGAACUGUCGGUGGAGCGGUGAAAUGCGUUGAGAUCGACAGGAACGCCGGUGGCGAAAGCGGCGCGCUGGACCUCUUCUGACGCUGAGGCGCGAAAGCCAGGGGAGCAAACGGG
rnacentral:rRNA from 1 species